ACGGCUCAGUAACACGUGGAUAAUCUGCCCUAAGGUCAGGCAUAACACCGGGAAACUGGUGAUAAUUCCUGAUAUACCAUAGAUACUGGAAUGUUCUGUGGUCAAAAGCUCCGGCGCCUUAGGAUGAAUCUGCGGCCUAUCAGGUUGUAGUGGGUGUAACGUACCUACUAGCCGACGACGGGUACGGGUUGUGAGAGCAAGAGCCCGGAGAUGGAUUCUGAGACAUGAAUCCAGGCCCUACGGGGCGCAGCAGGCGCGAAAACUUUACAAUGCGGGAAACCGCGAUAAGGGGACACUGAGUGCCAGCAUACAAUGUUGGCUGUCCGCAUGUAUAAAUAGCAUGUGUUAGCAAGGGCCGGGCAAGACCGGUGCCAGCCGCCGCGGUAACACCGGCGGCCCGAGUGGUGGCCACUAUUAUUGGGUCUAAAGGGUCCGUAGCCGGUUUGAUCAGUCUUCCGGGAAAUCUGACAGCUCAACUGUUAGGCUUCCGGGGGAUACUGUCAGACUUGGGACCGGGAGAGGUAAGAGGUACUACAGGGGUAGGAGUGAAAUCUUGUAAUCCUUGUGGGACCACCAGUGGCGAAGGCGUCUUACCAGAACGGGUCCGACGGUGAGGGACGAAAGCUGGGGGCACGAACCGGAUUAGAUACCCGGGUAGUCCCAGCCGUAAACGAUGCUCGCUAGGUGUCUGGGAUGGUGCGACCGUUUCAGGUGCCGCAGGGAAGCCGUGAAGCGAGCCACCUGGGAAGUACGGCCGCAAGGCUGAAACUUAAAGGAAUUGGCGGGGGAG
rnacentral:rRNA from 1 species